GCCUGGGUCUUGCGCAAUGGAGUCCUGCGAACCUCGUCAGGUCCGGAAGGAAGCAGCGAUAAGUGGGCCGCUCCAUGUGCCGCAAGGUUGCCUGGGGACU
rnacentral:SRP_RNA from 1 species